rnacentral:rRNA from 1 species
AAUCCUAGCUCAGGAUGAACGCUAGCUACAGGCUUAACACAUGCAAGUCGAGGGGAAACGACAUCGAAAGCUUGCUUUUGAUGGGCGUCGACCGGCGCACGGGUGAGUAACGCGUAUCCAACCUGCCCACCACUUGGGGAUAACCUUGCGAAAGUAAGACUAAUACCCAAUGAUAUCUCUAGAAGACAUCUGAAAGAGAUUAAAGAUUUAUCGGUGAUGGAUGGGGAUGCGUCUGAUUAG